UUGCUCUUGUUAAUUUUCAAGACAAAUUAUAACCUAAAAAUACGGCAAAGAUGUUAACAUUUGCCAAACUUAAAAAUAAUUCAUUAAAAAUAAUAUUCAACAUUGAGUUCUUUUAUUUAGUCAGAGAUUUAUUUUAAACUAUGUUUAUGAACGAGUGUUGAAUUUACGUUAAUGUUUAUAAUAUGUAAUUUAUUUUUUGUGAUGUCUUUGUACUUUGUUCGUCUAAUACGUAUACGAAGUUGUUACUGGACGUACAUAAUGAAGGUGAAGCUACUUCUGCGACAACCAAAAUGAAAAUGAGAGUGCCAGUAUGACAAUACAGGAUGUUCUUGAGGUACCAUGGGGAGUAUUAGAAAACUGGGAGACAGCUCACUUCGUAGAGGUAAUUACACAUAAUGCACAACUUGGCGAAGCUGCUUCUGCAACCGCCAGCAAUUAUAAUGGCUGUGCUAAUAUGGGUUGGCCUCUUAUUGGCAGUGUUCCUGAACAUAAUAAUACAAAUAGUUACAACAAUGAGAGAAUAGAACACCUCAAGAUCACGAUGUAUAUUGUCAAAAGGAUCAUACAUAUGAUGAUGAAGACUGGGUGAUAGUGUUCAAGAUCCAGACUAGUGUUGGGCCGAUUCCUAAAAUAUACCGAUUCCGAUUCCAUUUUCGAUUCUUAAAUUAAAGAGUCGAUUCUUCAAAUCCGAUUCCGAUUCCUUAAUUUUUAUCUGACAAUGUUCAACAGAGUAAUAUACUCAGAAAAAAAAAGGCUGUUUAUGAUUUUAAAAAUGUAAUUGCAUUGUGUUUGAUUUUCUGUGCAGAAAUUAACAUUAUAUACAGCUUAUAUAAUGUUAAAAAGUAUAUUCAUUACCAUCAAGUUAUGCUACCUUGAAUUUCUAGCACAAUUUGGCCUUUUAACCUUGCAUAUAGUUAGAUGAAACACGUGUUCAAACACUGCCAAUAAUCCAAAAUGUCUUAUGACAUAAAUUGCAAAUAAUGUUAUAACUUAACCAACUUUAGAUACCUUACAUUAAUUAAUUGUAAAAAAAAAAAUGAGUUUUGUACGGUUAGGUUAAGAAUUUUAUUUUCAAGCACAACUAAAUAAUGAUCCAAAUAAAAUGACAAUAUAACCUCGUUUAUACAUAUUUCAAGGGACCAGGGCGAAAAACAAAUAAAAA